CCUGACACAGGGAGGUAGUGACAAGAAAUAACAAUACGGGGCUUAAUGUCUUGUAAUUGGAAUGAUGGGAAUUUAAACCUCUUCCAGAGUAUCAAUUGGAGGGCAAGUCUGGUGCCAGCAGCCGCGGUAAUUCCAGCUCCAAUAGCGUAUAUUAAAAUUGUUGCAGUUAAAAAGCUCGUAGUUGAAUUUCUGCUGCAUUGCUUUUGCUCCUUUACGAGUCUUUGCAUUGUGGCUUAUUUCGGACUUUGUUUUACAAUGUCCGGAUGUUUACUUUGAGAAAAUUAGAGUGCUCAAAGCAGCUUUCGCCUUGAAUAGUUUAGCAUGGAAUAAUAAAGUAGGACUUUGGUUCUAUUUUGUUGGUUUUAGGUACCAAAGUAAUGGUUAAUAGGAACAGUUGG
rnacentral:rRNA from 1 species